AUUCGAAUUACUACAAAAAGAUGUCCCCUCUGGGUGGAUCAGACAGAAAAAGGCCCCAGAGCCAGUCCCACUGCCCACCCUCAACAAAGUAGUACUAAGCCUUGCCCAGGCUGACUUGGGACUCCCCGGCUCAGGUGUGGUUCCUGCAGCGACGCUUCCACAAGGACAUCCUGCUGAACCCCGUGCUGGUGCUGAGCUUCUGCCCAGACCUGAGCUCCAAGCCCGGACACCUGGGGACAGCUACUCGGGAGCUACUCUUCCUUUUGGAUAGCAGCAGCGCGGCACACAAGGAUGCCAUUGUUUUGGCUGUGAAGUCCCUCCCGCCCCAGACGCUUAUCAACCUGGCCGUGUUUGGGACGUUGGUGCAGCCACUCUUCCCAGAGAGCCGGCCUUGCAGUGAUGUGAGUGUGGUCCAGGGAUCUGGAGGCCUUACAGAGAGGUUUCAGCCCAGUGCGUCCCAGCCUGUGCCUUCUCGCUCCAGGAUGCUGUGCAGCUGAUCUGUGAGAGCAUUGAGACCCUGCAGGUUCCGAGUGGGCCCCCAGACGUGCUGGCUGCUCUGGACUGGGCCGUGGGGCAGCCCCAGCACAGGGCCUACCCUCGGCAGCUGUUCCUGCUCACUGCUGCCUCACCCAUGGCCACCACUACCCACCGAACCCUGGAGCUCAUGAGGUGGCACAGGGGGACAGCCAGAUGCUUCUC
rnacentral:sRNA from 1 species